GGAUUGGUAGCACAAUGGUUAGUGCAGCUUCUCAAUGUGAUGUCUGGAUGCAAUUGAGCAGAGGUUCCCGGUUCGAAUCCGGGUUAGGCCA